AUAUAUACCCCCUCAGGCUGAUCAUCUCUUCACUAAGCAGCACAAAACCUGCUCUCAUUUGCCCAAUAUAUUCAUUCUCUGAUACCAUCAGCUUUGCUCCCUGCUCAUUCCUUUAGCUUGCUUUUCAUUCCAGAUGGCUUCUGUUGAGGUUGCACCAGCCACAACAUUGCCCGAGGAUAAGGCACCUGAGGUGACAAAGAUCGAGGAAGCACCCGCGGAAGAAGUGGCCUCCCCCGUCGUAACCGAGCAACCCGUUGUUGAGGCGCCGGCUGCCGAGGAGUCGGUGCCCGCAGAAGAAUCCGACGCGCCGGUUGAAGUUGAAACCAAGGAAGUUGUGGAGGAAACCAAGGCAGAAGAGUCAACAGAGCCAGCUGUUGCUGAGCAGACCACCAGGGAAUUGGACAUCACCGAGGCCCCGGCUGCUCCUGCCGAGGUGGAAGCCCCCGCUGCUCCAGCCGAGGAGGAGGCACCGGCCGCUCCCGCCGAGGUGGAAGCACCGGCGGCUUCGGCCGAGGAGGUCGCGCCCGCUGCACCUGCCGAGGAGGAAGCUCCUGCCGCUCCGGCCAAGGAGGAAGCUCCUGCCGCUCCUGCCGAGGAGGUUGCACCAGCCGCUCCUGCUGAGGAGGAAGCCCCUGCCGCUCCGGUCAAGGUGGAAGCACCGGCGGCAGAGUAAGAAUGAUCUGGCACUCAAGUUGCCUUUGAGGAAGUCGAGUAGAUAUCGUCACCAUUUUUCAAGAAGAGAGUGCGAGAGGGAAAGAUAAGUGAAUGUGGUGGUGUUUCUACUCUUUAGUUAUAAUGGGGUUCUUGGGUUUCUAGGUUUGCAUGUCGAAGUUGGUAAGGUUUUGCUCGUUAUGUUUUUCUUGGUUUAGUUUCUUCCUAUAUUAAAUAUGGAGUAGACCAUGUUGUGGUUACUAUGGUUUGAUCGAGUCUAGAAUCAGAAGAUGCCCACUUGGAGCCACGUCAGCAUCCACCUCCACCGCAAGAAAGAAAGGCUGAUAAUUGUUUUAUUUGAGGCGAGGCUGCUGUGCUAUUUUGGGGGUGAUGGCUGGAGGAUUGCAGUUGAAGGGAGGGUGCGAUGUUGGUGACGAGGAGGGAAUAUCUCAUGUAAAUAUUCUUGAUCCGGACGACGAAAACAGAUGAAACUUAUUGUUGAUAUCUCAAGAAUCAAGAUUUCAUUCGA